rnacentral:rRNA from 1 species
CCUACGGGAGGCAGCAGUGGGGAAUAUUGCACAAUGGGCGCAAGCCUGAUGCAGCAACGCCGCGUGAGGGACGACGGCCUUCGGGUUGUAAACCUCUUUUAGUAGGGAAGAAGCGAAAGUGACGGUACCUGCAGAAAAAAGCACCGGCUAACUACGUGCCAGCAGCCGCGGUAAUACGUAGGGUGCAAGCGUUAUCCGGAAUUAUUGGGCGUAAAGAGCUCGUAGGCGGUUUGUCGCGUCUGCUGUGAAAACUGGAGGCUCAACCUCCAGCCUGCAGUGGGUACGGGCAGACUAGAGUGCGGUAGGGGAGAUUGGAAUUCCUGGUGUAGCGGUGGAAUGCGCAGAUAUCAGGAGGAACACCGAUGGCGAAGGCAGAUCUCUGGGCCGUAACUGACGCUGAGGAGCGAAAGCAUGGGGAGCGAACAGGAUUAGAUACCCUGGUAGUCCAUGCCGUAAACGUUGGGAACUAGAUGUAGGGACCAUUCCACGGUUUCUGUGUCGCNGCUACGACAUACGUUACCCGUCCGUCGGGAGGUACGGCCGCGACGACGUAAACGUAACGUAAGUAGUUAGUUAGUACGUUGUUGAGNGCGCGACGACGACGACGGAGGAGGAGG